AAAGAGAUGGGAAGCAUGGGCUGGGGAAGGGAUGAGAGGAACGUAAUCAGGGCUGGAGCUGCCAGCGGGGUUAAGAGCUGCGGGUUUAUCAAACACAAUAUCAUCCCCCCCCCCCGCCCGGAAUAUAAAGGGACUGAAACAGAAGCCGUGUGGGAGAUAAGGCGGCAGCACCCAGCAGCUCAUAUGGAAUUACUGCAGUGACCUUGACCAAAGGGUGGCCAGAACUCCUAUGCCACCCACCUGCCCUCUGGCACCAGACUCCUCCCUUGGAAGGGAAGAUGCCAGCACAGGACAUUCUUCCAUUGUACGUGACUGAUGCAAAACUUUCAUCUACUCAGUGUUGUAUUAACAGAUUUUCCAGUGGGCAGAUGAACACAUGGAGCCUGGUUUCCAUAGGCUGGACUGAAGAUAUGGAUCCAUGGAGACAUGGAUGGGCUUUGCCAUCCUUUAAGGUAAAGCUACCAAAGGAAAGCAUUCCUGCCUCUCAGACAAUCACGUUUCCUCUGGAACCUGCAGACGCCCUCUCUCCUAGAAACAAACAGAUGGCGUGAGCAGUUUGAGUUGGGCAGAUUCACAAAGCUGAUAAUCAUCUCCAGGGAGGCAGGAGCUAUUGUCAGAGCCUGUAAGACAUACCCCAACUUCAGGCCUUUUUCCUCCUAAUUCUCAAAAUGUUGCUGAAAUUCUCAUGCCAGGAAUGCUGAGCAGAGACAUUUCCUUUGUGGGUCUGUGCCCACUAAGCCAGAGGAGGCUCCUGCUGCUAUAGAAGCCAAAAUGCUUCCCCACACCCACGAAGAGAAAACAGCUCAAAAGAUGAGAAGCCUCACCUGGCCAGUGAAAAAAACAAGCUGUGCUUUGCCAUGGUCCUGCUGGGAGCCAAGGGGAGGAAGAGAUCCUUUCCCCAAUGAAAAUGAGAAAGCAGAAGACACCAAUUCAGCAGAAGGAGCAGUCAUUUCACACUAGAUGUGCUGUGUGCCAGCCCAGGGACAGGGACACGUGCCCAAGGGACACACCUGGAGCCACUGAACUCGUGGCUGAGCAAUGCUCAGCAUGGAUAGGCAUCUGCUGCCUCAGAGCUCCAGUGGGAUCACCAUCCCCAAUUAAUGAGCUACACUGAUGUCAUUGCUCUGCUGGGCCAAAGCCUUCCUGGGGAAUGCUGUCCAGCUGCUUUAGCAGGAAGGUGGCACUUAGUGACACCAGGCCAAGGCAGACUCCACACAGAGCUCACUCUGCCUCAGGAACCUGCUCCAAGUGAAGCCCAGUGUGCCACACUCAGGCCUGGGAUGCCUCCACAAAAAGCCUCCUUCCAGCAGUGAUGCACUCAGAUGGAAAAUGGUGAUGAGCCCAGACACUCAGGCAGAUGGACAGACAGGACAGGUGCUCUAACACGAGGCCUUACCAUGGCUCACAACUUUUAUAGCACAAAUUGCACUAAUUUAAGAGUGAUUAUCAGUGGAAGAAAGAAUCUAAAACCUGGCUCAGAAUGGGGCAUGGGUACUUGGAGCUCAAUGGAAAGAGAAGGCAAGAUCAGCACAAGAAGGAAAGCUGUGAGUGCAAAACCAGGCAGGAUGGCACACCCCUUGGGACAGUGCUUCUACUGGGAUCCAGAAUGCCUCAGAGAAGCCUCCUGUCAGCAAUUCCCAAGGGCAGACUGGACAAGCAGCCAAAAACAUGAUAAAAACCAGGAUGGAUUUGUCUACUC